GUUCAGAUACCACCUCCUAUGCUGGGGCUUUGCAUUCACCACUUGUUGAAUACAAGUGUCUUGUUAAAACCCUGAGAGUUUAGUGCUGGGAGGGUCCUCAUUUGCUGUCUGAAGAAGUAGAGGUCUGGACCAAAGCUGUCUCUUCAGAGAGGCCUUUCCUAGGGCCAUCUUUUGCACGAAGCUUCUCUUCCGCGCGGUGAUUAAGAAGCUGGUAAUCUGUGCUCCCGGAGAAGGCAAUGGCACCCCACUCCAGUACUCUUGUCUGGAAAAUCCCACAGAUGGAGGAGCCUGGCAAUCCAUCUGAAAGUCGCAUCAACUCUACAUUUAAAAUAUAUUCAGGGACUUCCCUGGUGAUCUAGUGGUUAAGAAUCCACCUGCCGAUGCAGGGGACAUGGGUUUGAUCCCUGGUUCAGGAAGAUCCCAUAUG